rnacentral:rRNA from 1 species
UCAGCAGCCGCGGUAAUACGAAGGGGGCUAGCGUUGUUCGGAAUUACUGGGCGUAAAGCGCGCGUAGGCGGUUUUACAAGCCAGAGGUGAAAUGCCUGAGCUCAACUUAGGAAUUGCCUUUGGAACUGUAUGGCUUUGAGGACGAGAGAGGUGAGUGGAAUUCCCAGUGUAGAGGUGAAAUUCGUAGAUAUUGGGAAGAACACCGGUGGCGAAGGCGGCUCACUGGCUCGUUUCUGACGCUGUAGCGCGAAAGCGUGGGGAUCAAACAGGAUUAGAUACCCUGGUAGUCCACGCUGUAAACGAUGAGUGCUAGGCGUCGGCACGCUUGCGUGUCGGUGCCGCAGCUAACGCGUGAAGCACUCCGCCUGGGGAGUACGGUCGCAAGAUUAAAACUCAAAGGAAUUGACGGGGGCCCGCACAAGC